rnacentral:rRNA from 1 species
GAGUGGCGAACGGGUGAGUAACACGUGAGCAACCUGCCCUUGACUUCGGGAUAACGGUUGGAAACAGCCGCUAAUACCGGAUAUGACUUCGGCCUGCAUGGGUCGGGGUGGAAAGCUUUUUUGCGGUCAGGGAUGGGCUCGCGGCCUAUCAGCUUGUUGGUGGGGUGAUGGCCUACCAAGGCUUCGACGGGUAGCCGGCCUGAGAGGGCGACCGGCCACACUGGGACUGAGAUACGGCCCAGACUCCUACGGGAGGCAGCAGUGGGAAUAUUGCACAAUGGGCGCAAGCCUGAUGCAGCAACGCCGCGUGCGGGAUGACGGCCUUCGGGUUGUAAACCGCUUUCACCUGUGACGAAGCGGAAGUGACGGUAGCAGGAGAAGAAGGACCGGCUAACUACGUGCCAGCAGCCGCGGUAAU